rnacentral:rRNA from 1 species
GACGAACCGGACAAACGUUAUUCGGAAUUACUGGGCUUAAAGGGUUUGUAGGCGGCCUUGUAAGUCAGGUGUGAAAUCCCUCGGCUCAACCGAGGAAUGGCGCUUGAUACUGCACGGCUUGAGGGAGACAGGGGUAAGCGGAACUGAUGGUGGAGCGGUGAAAUGCGUUGAUAUCAUCAGGAACACCGGUGGCGAAAGCGGCUUACUGGGUCUCAUCUGACGCUGAGGCACGAAAGCUGGGGGAGCGAACAGG